rnacentral:rRNA from 1 species
CCUACGGGUGGCAGCAGUCGAGAAUCAUUCACAAUGGGGGAAACCCUGAUGGUGCGACGCCGCGUGGGGGAAUGAAGGUCUUCGGAUUGUAAACCCCUGUCAUGUGGGAGCAAAUUAAAAAGAUAGUACCACAAGAGGAAGAGACGGCUAACACUGUGCCAGCAGCCGCGGUAAUACAGAGGUCUCAAGCGUUGUUCGGAAUCACUGGGCGUAAGGCGUGCGUAGGCUGUUUCGUAAGUCGUGUGUGAAAGGCGCGGGCUCAACCCGCGGACGGCACAUGAUACUGCGAGACUAGAGUAAUGGAGGGGGAACCGGAAUGCUCGGUGUAGCAGUGAAAUGCGUAGAUAUCGAGAGGAACACUCGUGGCGAAGGCGGGUUCCUGGACAUUAACUGACGCUGAGGCACGAAGGCCAGGGGAGCGAAAGGGAUUAGAUACCCCAGUAGUC